UGGGGAAUAUUGCACAAUGGGCGCAAGCCUGAUGCAGCCAUGCCGCGUGUGUGAAGAAGGUCUUCGGGUUGUAAAGCACUUUUGUCCGGAAAGAAAUCCUUGGCUCUAAUACAGUCGGGGGAUGACGGUACCGGAAGAAUAAGCACCGGCUAACUACGUGCCAGCAGCCGCGGUAAUACGUAGGGUGCAAGCGUUAAUCGGAAUUACUGGGCGUAAAGCGUGCGCAGGCGGUUUGCUAAGACCGAUGUGAAAUCCCCGGGCUCAACCUGGGAACUGCAUUGGUGACUGGCAGGCUAGAGUAUGGCAGAGGGGGGUAGAAUUCCACGUGUAGCAGUGAAAUGCGUAGAGAUGUGGAGGAAUACCGAUGGCGAAGGCAGCCCCCUGGGCCAAUACUGACGCUCAUGCACGAAAGCGUGGGGAGCAAAACAGGAUUAGAUACCCCUGGUAGUCCACGCCCUAAACGAUGUCAACUAGUUGUUGGGGAUUCAUUUCCUUAGUAACGUAGCUAACGCGUGAAGUUGACCGCCUGGGGAGUACGGUCGCAAGAUUAAAACUCAAAUGAAUUGACGGGGUC
rnacentral:rRNA from 1 species